rnacentral:tRNA from 1 species
UGGGACUGUAGUUCAGUUGGUUAGAAUGCCUGCCUGUCACGCAGGAGGUCGCGGGUUCGAGCCCCGUCAGUCCCGU